AGAACACGGCGUGCUUGUCCCUUGAUGAAGUGGCAGACACGCUCAGUGGCCCUGCAGGAGGUGGCUGAUGAGUUCAUCUCUUGGCCAUUCAGACGACCCAACCGCACGGACUUGGGGAAAAGAUGGGUCAGUGGGAGGCCAUGCAGGGUGGUCCCCUCCAGAGAGGACACAAUGAGAACAUCCUCUCCCCAGGAGGUGCCCGGCAUCAGCUUCAUCUCUUGAGGAUCAAGAAUGACAACAUCCACUCACGUCAAGAUAAUCCACACACAGACCGGUGGGACAAUCGGUUUCUUCAUCUCCUCAGUAAAUCCUUUGUAAGGGCUACGAUGUGCCCAACACAACAUCAACACGCAGCCCGCCUUCGGGGAGCCCCAGCCAGGGGCGCUGGGCAGACAGAACACCCCUGGCAUGCGGAGCCUCAUGGAGCCAAUCUUGUUUUUGCUGCCCACCACCCUUUUCAAUUGGAGAGAACUCCGGCAGUGACGAUGGCUUUGCUGGAACCCCCGCAGCAGACAGCCCUGAGAUCAAGAGAGCAUCAUAAAAGAGGGGACUGUCCUUUUACUCGGAGGCCCCACAGUCACAUCAGGAGGCUGGAGUCUGGCUUUUGUGCUCAGAAGAGAACUUACCAGCUCGAUAACUUUGCAGUCUACAGGGCAUGGCGACCGGUCGCACCAGGUGGGUGUAGAGUUAGGGGCCUUUCCUGGGGGGACACAGCUUGUGGUGGGUUUAGCAAAAAGGCUUGUUGAGGGCACCUUGUUUAAUCCCCAGAGGCAGGCGUUACCAAUACCGCUUCACAGAGAAGAGUGAGGCUCAGACAAGAGAAGGCAUUUGCCCAAAGUCAACUCAUUGUUGGCUCCAAACCCAGAAGACACUGAGUCCCAGGCCCGGCCCUCGUCCAUGUACCCACUGCCUCCCAAGGAGGGAAGGGCCACUGUUGGGAGGGCCUCUGAGGCGAGCUGGUGGCCAAGGCUGCUGCCGGGGACAGUGUGGCCGUGGGAAAGGCACUGUCCCUUGGGAACACGGUCAGCUGGACACAGUUGGCCGGGAAGCGCUUUGAAGCUGGGCAGCAUCCAAUGCACCGGCCAGUCCCUGGGGCCCCCCGGAGGCUGGGAAUGCGGGCCUCUGCUCUGACGCGCUGCUCAAGCGCCCACCAGGCCCUUUGUGUGGGAAAGGGGACAGCCCAGCAACGGGCGACUAGAGUGUGGAGCGGAGAGAGGAGCACAUCCCAGAGAUUUGAUGUUGGGCUGUUCCACAAAGAAAGGGCCCGAGGUCAAACCGCCUGUCCCAAGGUUCGUCAGCAAGUGCACGAUCAAUGGCAGCGGUGGGUCGCUCAGAGGGGCCUUCUGCUAAGCGCUUUAUGCACAUUAUCAUAGGAGGCAGACAGAGACUCUGCGAGCAGGAGGCUCAGCUUCGACCCUGGCUUUGCUGCUUCCUCGCUGGGCAGACCCGGGAUUCCUCUUGAGGUGGGGAUAGUAACACGGCCCACCUCGCGGGCAGAUUCAUG
rnacentral:lncRNA from 1 species